UACGAAGGGGGCUAGCGUUGCUCGGAAUGACUGGGCGUAAAGGGCGCGUAGGCGGUUUGUACAGUCAGGUGUGAAAUUCCCGGGCUCAACCUGGGGCUGCACUUGAUACGUAUGGACUGGAGUGGGGAAGAGGGUCGUGGAAUUCCCAGUGUAGAGGUGAAAAUUCGUAGAUAUGGGAAGAACACCGGUGGCGAAGGCGGCGACCUGG
rnacentral:rRNA from 1 species